rnacentral:lncRNA from 1 species
CCAAGUCAUCUUGCGCCUCUGUAUCUUGUCCGCGACCUCUGCACGAGCUCCGACCUCUCCCUGUUGGCCAAAGAUGCCAUGGUUCUUGCAGUUGCCACCUUCUUGACUAGGAGUCCCCAUGUCUUCUCCUCUCCCUGAUCUCUCUCCGCCUUCAAUUUGAACUGCCUGCAGGAGUCACGAGGAAUGGCGAACUUUGUUGAGCUGAAAACUUCCGGCGACCAUGAAACGAGAGAGAGAGAGAGAGAGUUCGUACUUGCAGAGAGGGACUUUGCAGGAUGCAGUUUGAUCGCAGAGGGAGGAGUGGAGGCGGCAGAGCCGCCUCAUUCUCGUGCAAUGUGGGCAGCACUUUGGGACCAACUUAUUGUCGCAGGUGGCGUAGUGGCGGAGGAGGUGUUGCAGUCUCUGGCACGUGAGAGGACUCUUGCACGGGGACUUCUUCCCGCUCGAGGCCUCGUCCGCGCAGCCGCCGGCGAAUGUGUGUUGCAGGCAAUCCAUUGCCUCGCCUAAUAUCUGGUACAUCUCCUGGUUCGCUCGUUCUCUUCUCCAUC